GAAUCUUUCUGCUUCAACUAAAUACUCAAUGUUAGUUCAUACAUUUAAUAGAGAAUGCGCAAGUUCAAGGCACCUUACACACUGAAAUUGGUUUUAAAGACUAAAUGGAUCAAUACAAUUUAGCCAGUUAAGGGUAAAUGAGCUAAAUCUACUUAUGGUGGAAUUAAGUAAUGAGAUCUUCAUUUGUGGUUCUAUUCAAUGGAGUUGUACUGGAAUCCUUGUUUGUCUUUGGAUUAGAGAACAGUACAUCAUUAUUGUAUUCUUCAUUUCUAAUUUGUGUGUGAGACAAAUGUGCGUGUGCGUGUGUGUGUGUAUAUCUUAAAAAGAUUCAUGGAUCAAUGCAAUUUAGUCAGUUAUGCUGGUUAAACUAAUUGUAGACAUAAGAGGGCCUUCAAAUGAGGUUCAAAACCUUGGGACAAUUGUUACAAUUCUGUGAGAAAUGCCAUACAUUUAUCAAUCAUAUGACUAUAGCAUAAUUAUCCAUUUUCACUUUUGAAUUAUAUCGGACUGAGUGCCCUUAUUUUUUUUA